AAUAGGAAGCAGGGAUAGGUCAUACAUACGUAUAGGCAUACUCUGGUUUCUUAUGAAUAUGUAAAAGCAAUGUUCUGUAUAUUUAGAAAGUUCGACAGUUGUGUGUGCGUGUUGGUAGAGCGUAGAUUCCACACAUACCCAGCGCUGUUUACUUGCCUUUUAUAAUUUUUAAAAUAUUUGUUUCAGAAAUA